UGCUUCUGAGGUCUGAGACCUCCGACCUUGUAGCUUUCUUUUACUGCAAUUUUUUCCUUUCUUUUUAUCUUCAAGAAUCAUUCAAUCAAUAAAGUUGAAUUUCUCACCGUGGAUGGCUUCUCUUCUCCCCCUUCCCCCCUUUUUAUUUUUCUUUCUGCAAUGAGAUGCGCCUUGACGCUUCUGUCUCUUGAUGGCAGUGUCCUGCCAAGGCA
rnacentral:lncRNA from 1 species